rnacentral:rRNA from 1 species
AUAUCAAUAAGCGGAGGAAAAGAAACCAACCCGGGAUUGCCCUAGUAACGGCGAGUGAAGCGGCAAAAGCUCAGAUUUGAAAUCUGGCCUCCUUUGGGGGUCCGAGUUGUAAUCUGUAGAGGAUGCUUCGGCGUGGGCGCCGCCCCAAGUUCCUUGGAACUGGACGUCAUGGAGGGUGAGAGCCCCGUAUGCGGGCGGAUGCCUUCGCCGUGUGAAGCUCCUUCGACGAGUCGAGUUGUUUGGGAAUGCAGCUCAAAUUGGGAGGUAAAUUCCUUCUAAAGCUAAAUACCGGCCGGAGACCGAUAGCGCACAAGUAGAGUGAUCGAAAGAUGAAAAGCACUUUGGAAAGAGAGUGAAACAGCACGUGAAAUUGUUGAAAGGGAAGCGCUUGCAGCCAGACGUGGCCGUCGUCGCUCGGUUGGGCCUCGUGCCCGGCCUACGCUUCGGCGGCCAGGCCAGCGCCAGUUCGGGCGGUCGGAUAAGCGCGCGGGAAUGUAGCACCCUCCGGGGUGUGUUAUAGCCCGCGUUCGAUGCGGCCCGCCUGGACUGAGGUGUCCGCGCUCUGCGAGGACGCUGGCAUAAUGGUGGUAAGCGGCCCGUCUUGAAACACGGACCAAGGAGUCUCACAGCCGUGCGAGUGUUCGGGUGUGAAAACCCGUGCGCGCAAUGAAAGUGAAUGGAGGUGGGAACCCGCAAGGGUGCACCAUCGACCGAUCCAGAUGUCUUCGGAUGGAUUUGAGUAUGAGCACGGUUGCGAGGACCCGAAAGAUGGUGAACUAUGCCUAAGCAGGGUGAAGCCAGAGGAAACUCUGGUGGAGGCUCGCAGCGGUUCUGACGUGCAAAUCGAUCGUCAAAUUUGGGUAUAGGG